rfam:Gossypium raimondii chromosome 6, whole genome shotgun sequence.
AUGUUUCCAUAUGUGAGCCCGGGCUAAAAUUAGGUAUUACACUUAUUAUAUCACAAAAAAUUCAAAUAAAGAACCCAUUAUUUGAAUGAAGUGAAGUGCCAAACAAGGAUAAAUGGAUCUAUUUAUCUAUGAUCGAAUUAUAUUUGUUCGAUACACUGUUGACAAUAUGAUUGUAGCUGGAGGAAAGAAAGCAAAAGCGAUUCUCGUAGUAGCAGCAAGCGAAAUGGGAGCAGUCUAAACUGUGAAAAUGGGGUUGUGGGAGAGCAAUAAAAGUGUCAUGCUGUUAGACGAAGCGGUGAAGUGCCGAACCCUAGAUGGCGAUAGUCCAGUAGCCGAAAGCAUAAUUAGCUUAAGCUCUGACCCGAGUAGCAUAGGGCACGUGGAAUCCCGUGUGAAUCAGCAAGAACAACCUUGCAAGGCUAAAUACUCCUGAGUGACCGAUAGCGAAGUAGUAUCGUGAGGGAAGGGUGAAAAGAACGCUCGUCGGGGAGUGAAAUAGAACAUGAAACCGUAAGCUCCCAAGCAAUGGGGAGGAGCCCAAGGCUCUGACCGCGUGCCUAUUGAAGAAUGAGCCGGCAACUCAUAGGCAGUGGCUUGGUUAAGGGAACCCACUAGAGCCGUAGCGAAAGCGAGUCUUCAUAGGGCAAUUGUCACUGCUUAUAGACCGAACCUGGGUGAUCUAUCCAUGACCAGGAUGAAGCUUGGGUGAAACUAAGUGAAGGUCCGAGCCGACUGAUGUUGAAGAAUCAACGGAUGAGUUGUGGUUAGGGGUGAAAUGCCACUCGAACCCAAAGCUAGUUGGUUCUCCCCAAAAUGCGUUGAGGCGCAACAGUUGACUGGACAUCUAGGGGUAAAGCACUGUUUCGGUGCUGGUCAUGAGAGCGGUACAAAAUUGAGGUAAAUUUUGAAUACUAGAUAUGACCUCAAAAUAAUAGGGGUUGAGGUCGGCCAGUGAGACUAUAGGGGAUAAGCUUCAUCGUCGAGAGGGAAACAGUCCGGAUCACCAGUUAAGGCCCCUAAGUGACCGCUCAGUGAUAAAUGAGGUAGGGGUGCAGAGACAACCAGGAGGUUUGCUUAGAAGCAACCACCCUUGAAAGAGUACGUAAUAGCUCACUGAUUGAGCGCUCUUGCGCUGAAGAUGAAUGGGGCUAAGCAAUCUGUCGAAGUUGUGUGAUGUAAAAAUGCAUCAAUAGGGGAGCGUUCCGCCUUAGGGGAAAGCAUCUGUGUGAGCGGGAGUAGAUGAAUUGGAAGCGAGAAUGUCGGCUUGACAAUAACCAUCCACCAAUUUUGCCAGUUAUGCUAAGUCACCAAACGGUGGUAGAUGACAAUAACCAUCCACCGAUUUUGCUAGUUAUGCUUAAGGUAGCUUAA